rnacentral:sRNA from 1 species
CUAAUGUUCUAGAAAUGUAAAAUUCCUCUCCUGUCGUCUUCUACAAUAAAAUCCGAAGUGUCGUUAUCUACAAGAAGAGUCCAAAGUGUCUUCAUCCAAUCGUUGAUGACUUCAGAAAAAGCUUGCUUCAAGCCCAACAACUACGGUCCACGGAUAUGACUACUUAGAGCAAGUUCCAGCCUCACACAUGAAUUGCGAUCUUCUCAAAGAAGUCUUAGAAGAUACUUACUAAUGGACGAAAAUAUCGAGAAAGAAAAAAAAAAAGGUACAACAACGGCAUAUUUCCGUGAGAAUAAUGCGCGUGGAACGAUUAAUGUGGCUAUUCAUUGCUUAACGGCCUUUUUAGUGUCGGCUCUAAGGCCCAUUUUUGUCUUUGUGCAAAUUUAACGGUGAAUGUGUUUGUUCAGGUGUUUUACAUUUUUUUUUUUUGAGUGUUGGAACGCUUUUGUUAGAGUUUAUGUAGCUCGGAUUAAGACAACCCUAAUUGGCUAAUUGCUACCGCCUACCAUUG